rnacentral:lncRNA from 10 species
UCUUCCCUUCUGUGGGACGUGUUUUGAGGACUUGUGUGUUGACUGCACCAUGCAGAGCAUAUAGCAUGGAGGCACCCCUACUGCCAUCGGGGGGCAGGUGGAGGGGGGACCGUCCUGCAGCUCCUCCCUGGGGCUACCCCUCUCUUCCCUCUGCACAGACCUGGCAGCCACCCAGACGUCCCGCCUGCUGCCUAGACUCUAAGAAGAUGCCCUAUCACUCCAAUUACCAUACACAGUACUGGCGGGGGAGAGGUCCUGCCUUGCCGCUGAAAACUGCACUGCUUCCUCCCUCCAGGGAUGAAAGGCCAAAAGAACGAGGGCAGUGUGGAGUCUACGCUCUCGCCAGGGACCUGCAGCCUCUCACUUCCAAGCACACCAACUCCAGCUAACAGGACUGGGCUUCCUUACCUGCCGCCUUCCGCUGCCUCCCCGCAGACACAGCUUCAGCGACGCCCAGGCUGAGACGGCAGAAGAGGUUCCCGCCGGCCGCGGCCUGCCCUCAGGCAGUGGCUCCCAGAGCUCAGCGGUUCCCCGCACUCUUCUGCGCCCGACUCCCCAUGCCCCUACAUCCUGCGUCCCCUUCAGCCCCGGAGGUACCGUGGGGCCCGGGCCUGCCAGUCACCACCUCCUCCUCCGCCGGCGCCUCCGGGUCCUGAGCCCCUCGCCGGGUCCCUCUCCCUCCUGGGGCUCCUUCCCGUUCAGGCUCCGGGGCCCUACCCCGCUCUCCCCGACUCCCCCGGGCCCGGCCUGCGCCUUCCUGCGGUGCCGAGGAGCGGUGGCGCCCUGGGUGAAGAAGUCCCGCCGAGUCGAGGGGCGCAAUGGAGGAGCGCCGGAACAGGUCUCUCAUUCCGAGUAGCUACCGUUGCACUGUGCGAGUGUAAAAGUCACUUCCACCCGGUCUCAGUUGUUCCAACCUCAGUUGAAGUGAGGAGGUUGGACUGGAAGGUUUCUGGGGUCACUCCAGUGAGGCUGGGGUUCUAGUCCCAAUCUCACCGUGGCACCCCAAAGGCCCAGAAACCCGGACCAUCACCUCUCUUUCCCCGGGGCCAACGGAGCACUCCUGAAGGAGGGAGGGUUUGUCUCAGGCCUGACGAUUCCUGAUGAGGACUUGGGCAGAAACAGCCCCAGGCAAGCGGACCUUCAUUCCUGCACUUGAGCCGUCUCCUCCCUGCCCCCACCCCAGAAGGAGAAAACCCAGCGCUCGGAUUCCCAGCGGCGGGGCAGCCUGCAGGCCCUGUUCCCAGCCCACAGACCCAUGUCCCAGCCCAAACGGAGGCAGCCCUGGGCAGCGGGCGCGUGGAGCCCAAGGGCUCAGGGCCACUCAGCCCUUGUUACUGUCCCUCAUCUAGAAAAUGGAUGUAAUAACAAAACAGUUCACGGUAGGUGGCAAGAUCAGACACAUCGGAAACUGUGUAGGGCUGGCUCUUUCUGCGCUCACACUGUCCAGCAAUGGGCCCCAGGGACUUGGCCAGAGCGCAGUAGGGCAAUGAGAAAGGGGUGGCUUCUGGAAACCUACACGAGGCCCAGUCUGGGUGGAUUUGGGUGGCGGUCCCUUGCCUGCGAGGUGGGCAGGGCAACUUUCUACUAAAUUAUCUAACACUGCCAGUAAUGGCAGCCCUUCCCCAGGGAGCCAGGAGGCUGGGCCAGGACCACCCCCCUGUCGCCUGGCUUCAGGAAAGAAAGUGGGGAAGACAACAGAUUUGGGAGAAGGAAACUGAGGAGGUUUUCUCCCAGUCUCCCUCACGCUGCCUCAGUCAUGGCCAUUGCUAAGACUCACAGAGCCCAACUGUGCAAGGCCCUGCACUUCGCAUUCUUCUCAUCCAACCCCAUGACAACCCAAGGAGACACAUAAUAUCCCCAUUUUACACGUGGCAGAACUGAGGUUCUACAUGGCCAAGUGACUUGUUCAGUGCCAUACAGCUGGUAGUAGUGAAGCCAGGAUUCAAAUCCAGCUUUCCGACUCUAAAGUCUAAGGCACAGACCGAGUGUGGUGACUCAUGCCUGUAAUCACAGCACUUUGGAGGCUGAGGAGGGCAAAUCAUUUGAGCUCCCAAGUUCAGGACCAGCCUGGGCAACACGGCAAAACCCUGUCUCUA